GCAUAUAAGUAAGCGGAGGAAAAGAAACUAAACAGGAUUCCCUCAGUAAUGGCGAAUGAACAGGGAUGAGCUCAGUAUGGAAAUUGGGGCCUGUGGCCUUGAAUUGUAGUCUGGAGAUGUACUACCAACUGGGGCGCAGAUGUAAGCCUCUUGGAAAAGAGCAUCAAUGAGGGUGAGAGUCCCGCUUGGCAUCUGCAGUCCCCAGUGCACGGUGUACCUUCUAAGAGUCACGUUCCUCGGGAUUGGAGCGCAAAUUGGGUGGUAAAUUUCAUCUAAAGCUAAAUAUUGCUUCGAGACCGAUAGCAAACAAGUACCAUGAGGGAAAGGUGAAAAGGACUUUGAAAAGAGAGUUAAAAGUGCCUGAAAUUGCUGAAAGGGAAGCGAAUGGAGCCAGCGUACCUUGGCAAGAUUGCUGCGUGUCAAUGUGAUUGCUUGCUUCCUCAACGUAAGUGUGGUUGUAAGUCUUGAGCAAGACAUGCGUGGUGCUUCUUGCCUUGUGUGUCACCGCCAGCUCGCAGCUGAGGAAAACUUCAGGGACAUGGUAGCCUGCCCCCGGGUGUGUGAAUGUGCCUGCUGGAACUCGUUUGCGGGCUGCUUGGUGACUAAAUGGUUCCAUCCGACCCGUCUUGAAACACGGACCAAGGAGUCUAACAUAUGUGCAAGUUCACGGGUGUUAAACCUGCCUGCGUAAUGAAAGUGACUGCUGGGAUCUUUGCACCAGCAACCGACCAAUCAAUUGAGAGAGGUUUGAGUAUGAGCAUAUCUGUUAGGACCCGAAAGAUGGUGAACUAUGCCUGUGAAGGGCAAACUCAGGGGAAACUCUGAUGGAGGCUCGUAGCGAUACUGACGUGCAAAUCGUUCGUCAUACAUGGGUAUAGGGGCGAAAGACUAAUCGAACCAUCUAGUA
rnacentral:rRNA from 1 species